rfam:Hordeum vulgare subsp. vulgare, WGS project CAJW01000000 data, contig: morex_contig_8106
GUGCUUGGGCCGUCGGGGCAAUGACGUAGCUAGUGAGGUAAUACCGAGGGACGUCAAUUGCUGGUUGAAAACUAUUUCCAAACCCCUCUUUGGCCCUUUAGGGCAUGUACUCCUCCGUUCUUAAAUAUAAG